rnacentral:rRNA from 1 species
GAUGAACGCUAGCUACAGGCUUAACACAUGCAAGUCGAGGGGAAACGGCAUUGAGUGCUUGCACUCUUUGGACGUCGACCGGCGCACGGGUGAGUAACGCGUAUCCAACCUUCCCAUUACUGUGGGAUAACCUGCCGAAAGGCAGACUAAUACCGCAUAGUCUUCGAUGACGGCAUCAGAUUUGAAGUAAAGAUUUAUCGGUAAUGGAUGGGGAUGCGUCUGAUUAGCUUGUUGGUGGGGUAACGGCCCACCAAGGCAACGAUCAGUAGGGGUUCUGAGAGGAAGGUCCCCCACAUUGGAACUGAGACACGGUCCAAACUCCUACGGGAGGCAGCAGUGAGGAAUAUUGGUCAAUGGACGGAAGUCUGAACCAGCCAAGUAGCGUGCAGGAUGACGGCCCUAUGGGUUGUAAACUGCUUUUGUAUGGGGAUAAAGUUAGGGACGUGUCCCUAUUUGCAGGUACCAUACGAAUAAGGACCGGCUAAUUCCGUGCCAGCAGCCGCGGUAAUACGGAAGGUCCAGGCGUUAUCCGGAUUUAUUGGGUUUAAAGGGAGCGUAGGCUGGAGAUUAAGUGUGUUGUGAAAUGUAGACGCUCAACGUCUGAAUUGCAGCGCAUACUGGUUUCCUUGAGUACGCACAACGUUGGCGGAAUUCGUCGUGUAGCGGUGAAAUGCUUAGAUAUGACGAAGAACUCCGAUUGCGAAGGCAGCUGACGGGAGCGCAACUGACGCUUAAGCUCGAAGGUGCGGGUAUCAAACAGG